UACGUAGGGUGCAAGCGUUUAAUCGGAAUUACUGGGCGUAAAGCGUGCGCAGGCGGCUUUACAAGACAGAUGUGAAAUCCCCGGGCUUAACCUGGGAACUGCAUUUGUGACUGCAUGGCUGGAGUGCGGCAGAGGGGGAUGGAAUUCCGCGUGUAGCAGUGAAAUGCGUAGAUAUGCGGAGGAACACCGAUGGCGAAGGCAAUCCCCUGGGCCUGCACUGACGCUCAUGCACGAAAGCGUGGGGAGCAAACAGG
rnacentral:rRNA from 1 species